rnacentral:rRNA from 1 species
AACGAACGCUGGCGGCAUGCCUAACACAUGCAAGUCGAACGAGACCUUCGGGUCUAGUGGCGCACGGGUGCGUAACGCGUGGGAAUCUGCCCUUGGGUGCGGAAUAACUUCUCGAAAGGGAUGCUAAUACCGCAUAAUGUCGUAAGACCAAAGAUUUAUCGCCCAAGGAUGAGCCCGCGUAAGAUUAGCUAGUUGGUGGGGUAAAAGCCUACCAAGGCGACGAUCUUUAGCUGGUCUGAGAGGAUGAUCAGCCACACUGGGACUGAGACACGGCCCAGACUCCUACGGGAGGCAGCAGUGGGGAAUAUUGGACAAUGGGCGAAAGCCUGAUCCAGCAAUGCCGCGUGAGUGAUGAAGGCCCUAGGGUUGUAAAGCUCUUUUACCAGGGAUGAUAAUGACAGUACCUGGAGAAUAAGCUCCGGCUAACUUCGUGCCAGCCGCCGCCGUAAUAC